rnacentral:lncRNA from 1 species
AUGACACAUGAGGGCUUUACUCGCUGGACCAGGUCAUCACUCUCUCCUGGUCCCCUUCCAGGCAAACAGACCACGGCCCAGGGGCCAGGCGUGCUGGGAGUGAGCUCCCCAAGGAGCAGCGUGGUGACAGAGGGCUCUCCUGAGUGCUUCCAUGGCCUCAUUAGCACCUCACUCACUGCUGGGGACCAGAGCACGAAGAUGAAAAGCAUCUUUACAGAGAGAAACAGCAUCAUUUUAGAGGCAUACAACUAGCGGUUGCUUCACACGGAACGAGGCAGUGAACACAGGUAAAUGUCAUCCUUUCCUGUUCUUCAAUAGAAACUGUGUUUACAAGAGCAAAAGAGUAGUGCAGAAGGCCAAAAGUCUAAGUACUAAAGUUUUAAAACCACACAGAUAUAAAAAUAUACAUGUCCUUGGUUUUUGUAUGUUACUGCGGGAUCUACUUCAGCAUAAGGAUUGUUUUAGCCUCAUAGUAUUAGCUCUGCCGCCAGGCUACCUUACCCUUGAGCUCGGCUCUCCUGAAACUCUAGAAUCCCUUUUCCCAAACACACCUUAUCAGAAAGCCAGUCGGAAAACGGGUUUGUAAUAUGGUGCACAGGAAACCUUCACUUUCUUUCCUUCCUUUCCAUUAUCUCCCCUGGUUUGGAUGUCCACCCUGCAUUCUCGGGGCACAUGACAGUGAUACAUUUUUUAAAAAGAAGGUGGUCAAUUGGAGACCAAAAAGGUAAAUUUUAAUCUCAAAAAGCUUCACAGCUCUCCUUCAGGGUUCCACAGUUUUAGGGCCCGUAAGUCUAUUAAAGCUUUAGUUCCCCUUUACAAGGAAAAGGAAAUGUGAACCAAAAUCAUUUCAACGGGUAAUGGGCACUAGUGGGCAUCACCAACUCUGAGGCAGGAACACAGGAGGAAAGUACCAUUGCAGUGACCAGAAACCCAGCCAUGUGUGUAACAGGGAUUUCUGGCUGUAGCCUGUGUGGACAACACUGCAACUAAUAAAACCCCCUUACGGCUUCCA